GUCUCUGUGGCGCAAUCGGUCAGUGCAGCCUGCUGUUAACUGAAAGGUUGGUGGUUCAAGCCCACCCAGGGAUG
rnacentral:tRNA from 1 species